rnacentral:rRNA from 1 species
UACGGAGGGAGCUAGCGUUGUUCGGAAUUACUGGGCGUAAAGCGCGCGUAGGCGGCUUUGUAAGUUAGAGGUGAAAGCCCGGGGCUCAACUCCGGAACUGCCUUUAAGACUGCAUCGCUUGAAUCCGGGAGAGGUGAGUGGAAUUCCGGAGUGUAGAGGUGGAAUGCGCAGAUAUCAGGAGGAACAACCAAUAGCGAAGGCAGCUCGCUGGGACGUUACUGACACUGAGGCGCGGAAAGCGUGGGGAGCAAACAGG